UGUUUUCUUUCCUUUGAAAAAUAUAUUUAAAGUUUAAAGUCGGUAGAGCUUUUGAAGUUGGCAAACCUUCUGUUGCUUUGCUUUUUUGCGUUGAUAACUUUAGUACUUUACUGUUUAAUUUUUAUAUUAUUCGAGGUUAAUUAGGAAUGGGCCUUUAGGUUCGAAUAUAGAUCCAUUAGGUUUGAAUUUAUAUUUUAUAAUAUAAUAUAAAUUAAUAUGUAUUUUACACAUUUAGGUGAAAAAUAUAAGAAUAUAUGAUAAUUUUUAACGGGUUAACGGUUUAUCCAAUAAGGAAAUAGUGUAAUCCACCCCCACUUUAAUAAGCCGUUAAUGAAAAAAAUUUUAAUGCGUUCACCAACCGUUUAUCCGAUAGCCAAUAUCAAUAAGCCAAUAAGUCAAUUUUGCGGAUGGCUUAUUGGAUACGAUUCGAUUUUGAACAGCCUUAAUAUUGGCUCACGUGAUUGUAGAAUUGUAACAUUAUGGCUAGUUGUAGAAAUACAUCAUGUGGAUUAGGCGUGAAAAUAUAUCACGUGAUUUGGUUGUGGAAAUACUCAUUUUGAAUGAUUGUGAACAUUGCAUCGUCAUUCUCAUGUCAUCAUACACAUCAUUUCACUUGUUCGUUUUACUGCUUUAUAUAUACUUGUUGUCAUAUAUGUGUAUUUGAUUUAUGUCUUAUGUUAUGUAUGUGCUUUGAAAAUACUGAAAACAUUGGAAUACUAGAUAUUGGUAUCGGAUAUUGGAUUUUGUGAACCAUCUUCAAAUGAUCAUGCCAGAGAAAAAUUGUGGAUAUUGGUGAUCUUGAGGUUAUAUGCCAAACUUGAGGCUGUUUGCCAAAUUUAAGGUUGUGUGCCAAACUUGAGGUUGUUUGUUAAAUUUAAAGUUGUGUGCCAAACUUGAGGUUGUGUGUGAAACUUGAGGCUAUGUGUCAAUACCAUGCAUCAUCAUCAUCAUCAUAUAUAUUGCACCCGCCUUAUUGUGUUUAUGUUGUGUUUGAAUUGACAUAUUGACUUGUCAUUUACCUAUUUGUUCUAUAUCUUGACUUGUUAAUGUCUAAUUGUUCUAUCUUCCUUUAAAUGUACUUGAUGGUCUUGAUUAUACAUGCCCCUCUUUUGUUCUACCUGUAUGUGAUAAUGUGUAUAUUUGUAUUCGUAUCUUGUGUGUUGUUGUAUUAUAUAUGGAUAUUAUAGAACUAUUAGUACAAGCGGUGUCAGCUACCAUCAUGGGACAUUUUUUAAUUGCAGGUGGCGUGCCCUUAGUGUAUAUUUUGUAUGCUUUAUUUACUACUUUGUUUAAUCGGCCUAUGAUACCUACUGAGUACAAGUGAACCAUACUCAUGCCUACAGCAGUCUUUCGGUGCAGGUCCUAGCUCGAGUGCGCCUUGGCUUGCUUGACUCGAGCAAUUAUUGAAGCAUCCGGAGUUCACCUCUAUGCUUCUAUUGUAGUUAUGUCUUUAUUAGUAUUCGGAGACAUAUAUUAUUUUCUUUUAUUUAUUUUUCUAAUGUAUUUGACUCCUGAAUUGUAUUAUUCUGAAGCAUCCGGAGUUCACCUCUAUGCUUCUAUUGUAGUUAUGUCUUUAUUAGUAUUCGGAGACAUAUAUUAUUUUCUUUUAUUUAUUUUUCUGAUGUAUUUGACUCCUGAAUUGUAUUAGUGUUUCUUACACUAUUGACACCUGAUUUUGGGCAUGAUUGGUAUUUUGAAUAAGAGUUUUCCGCAUUGUUAUAAUUACUUAUAUGGUUCAGCUUCGUUUUAGAAGUCUUACCUUGAGAUGUUUCUAUCUUUUCCUCUUUUUGUAUCAAUUUGGGUGAUAGGCUUACUUGUCAAGAUACGCCGUGAUAAGUGUCAUCAUGACUCUCGCAUUUGGGUCGUGACAAAUUAGGAAUCUGAGAGUCAAGUAAUAAGCCCAGAAAAUGAAAUUAAGAAAGAACAAACAUUUAAACUUCGAAAUGUCUAAAAUGUGAUCAAACAGAUACUAAACUCGAACAAAAUACUCUUAAUUCUUUGAAAGACUACCACCAAAGGGGAACUAUUGCCAAUAAACUUUACUAUAGAUGCACACGCGUGAAGAAGUACCGGGACACUUUAAAGCAACUAAUUCAUUAAUUACACACAUUGUCCCUUUCAUAAUGGAAACUUAACGACCUAUCAAAAGGCCAAACAGAAAAGGGUUUCUAGUUACACUUACCAUCCUCUUUCCAAUUUUUACUCUUCCAGGAAGUGAUUAAAGAAAUACAAUACGCGCCUUAAGACUAUACAGUGAACGAAAAUAAGUAAGGCCAUAUAUUUAAUUCUUGAAAUGCUCGUGUGAAUGUCCGUCCAGACCAAAUAAAGAAGCACAAAACUUGACUCAAUUACCAACUUCGUUGACUUUGCAUUUUGAAUUCACUGGGAACAAAAUACAUCACAUAUUCUAAACACGGAAUUGCCAUAUUUAUAGAAAAUUGUAAUUUAAUUUAGACCAGAAUAACUCCACGGCCGAAUUUGAAACCAACAUGAAUUGCAUGUUCACCUAUUUUGACACCGGACAUAUGUGAGAAUGAGAAUUGAGGCUAGAUAAAAUUAUUUAACAAGGCUCAAGUAAAAACACCACACACUUUUAUUCAAUUUGAACUUGAGGAAAUGCAACUACGCAGAGAGAUAAUAAAAUAGGUACGUGAUGAUGCCAUAUCAAUUUAAGCCAUAGAUACAAAAUUUUACCCCACUUUCUUAAAAGAAAAAUCAACCAAAUACAAAAUUUUGACGUAAACAAAAAUUUAAUACUACUUGAACAUCACAGAUGUGAGUCCUAUGACCAUCUGGACAUGAAAACUAUUAGAAAAGGGAGGUUUUGGAAGUCAUAUUUCAAACGGGAAAACAAAUGUUUUAAGUCUUAAGAAUUACCAUUCAGCCAAGUCUGGCAAAAUCGGGAGAAUAAUACAAUCAAAACGGGGUGGAAAAUCAUUUCCGAUUGUUCACGAGACCAUACAACAAUAACAACAAUAACAACAACAACAACAAAACCAGUAUAUUCCCCACAUAGUGGGAUCUGGGAGGAUAAAAUGUACGCAGUCCAUACCACUACCCCGAAGGAGUACAGAAGCUGUUUCCGAUAGACCCCCGGCUCAAGACAGAUUGUGUGUAACCACCUAAAACAACAUAAACAUCAGACCCCCUUUUAUCCCCAAUUAUUUCAAACUCACGAGAUUCCAAUUGUUACGGAUAGAGACCAACUAUGAAAAAUAAUGGAGUUAAGCUCCCAAAAACACAGUGUGGGCAUAUACAGUAUUUCAGGGUAAAUCCAUAAGAGGUCACGUAUAUCUCAUUUUUAUAUACGACGGCCACGUAGACGAUGACGAGUAAAAUUACAAGGCAAGACGAAAGACUCACACUCUUUUCGGGACUCGAUCCAUGAACUAUACACUAAAUGAAAAAUCACUGGAAAGCGGGAAAAGAAAAACAUACUUUCAUAUUUCGCAAACUUACGUUCUUAACGGGAAACAAAAAGGAAAGAAAAAAAAAAACUACUAACUAGCUAAUUUGACCACGAAUCAGCCAUCUACAUAAAGAGGAGGAACAUCUUUGUAUGUUUAUUUGUAUAUUUACAUAUUUGCACAAAACCAGCUUCAUGAAAAUCGACGUUCCACCUUUACUUCAUCGAAAUAACGACAGAACAACUACAAAAUCUUAACAUUGGCCAAAACUCACAAAUUCUUGUAUAUCAAAAAAAAAAAAAAACGAAAGAGAUAAAGAGUGAGAUGAAAAGAGGGAUUUCACACCUUUCUUGGUGCAGCAAAAUAGAGGCUUUGACGCCUAAAGGUUUCCGACAACUGCAAACUCAACCACGGGACCCCAGAAUUGGACCAAAUCAGAAAGAUAAUAGCCGAUUUUUUCCUGCAUCACUCGCUUCUCUCUUUGAUUUCCACUCUUUUCUCCGUUUUUCACCUCUUUUGUCACAAAUUUUUCAUACCUUUUCUCAUUGGUUCUUUUUUCAAUCUUUCUCGCUAGUUUUCUUUGUUCCUUCUCUUAACACUGUUUUUUUUCUUGUUCCCUUAGAGAUGACGUAUUUAUAGGUGAAUCCGGACUUGAAAGUCCGGAUCCAAGACACAAAUUAAGCAAAACGUGAGAGAAUUGAUUUGAAAUUUGAAAUGAAUCUCAGAAACGAAUCCUCUUCCGAAUCUUUAACUUUUCAGGCCAUUGAUUGCGAAUACGAAUUUCUUUUCCAUUGUUAUCAUCGAUUUAGGGUCUGUUUUCUCCGUCUUUUCAUUUUCACGGGUUAGGGUGACACUAAAAAAGAGAUUCUCGAGCAUCCUAGCGGCAGGCUUGGGUGGAGAUUAGGGUUCCUUAUUUCGGGAUGGUAGAUGAGGGGUGAGGGGUGAGGGGUGAGGGAUGAGGAGGAGAGAAGGUCCGUGGUUGGAGCUGAUUUUGGAAAAAUGAUGGUGACCGCAAGCUGAUUUUGGGAAGAGGAGAGAUACGCGUUAUGGUUUUUGGGAAAGAGAGAGGGAGACACUUUUUUUUUGUUUUGGAAUCCUUGACUAAUUUUGAUUCGUAAGAUCAAAAGAUCGUACCACUAAAAACAAGUACACUAAAAUAAUAAUAGUAAAUAAAAAACAUGUAUUUUAGUAUU
rnacentral:lncRNA from 1 species